AUUGAACGCUGGCGGCAUGCCUUACACAUGCAAGUCGAACGGCAGCACGGGUGCUUGCACCUGGUGGCGAGUGGCGAACGGGUGAGUAAUACAUCGGAACAUGUCCUGUAGUGGGGGAUAGCCCGGCGAAAGCCGGAUUAAUACCGCAUACGAUCUACGGAUGAAAGCGGGGGACCUUCGGGCCUCGCGCUAUAGGGUUGGCCGAUGGCUGAUUAGCUAGUUGGUGGGGUAAAGGCCUACCAAGGCGACGAUCAGUAGCUGGUCUGAGAGGACGACCAGCCACACUGGGACUGAGACACGGCCCAGACUCCUACGGGAGGCAGCAGUGGGGAAUUUUGGACAAUGGGCGAAAGCCUGAUCCAGCAAUGCCGCGUGUGUGAAGAAGGCCUUCGGGUUGUAAAGCACUUUUGUCCGGAAAGAAAUCCUUGGCUCUAAUACAGUCGGGGGAUGACGGUACCGGAAGAAUAAGCACCGGCUAACUACGUGCCAGCAGCCGCGGUAAUACGUAGGGUGCGAGCGUUAAUCGGAAUUACUGGGCGUAAAGCGUGCGCAGGCGGUUUGCUAAGACCGAUGUGAAAUCCCCGGGCUCAACCUGGGAACUGCAUUGGUGACUGGCAGGCUAGAGUAUGGCAGAGGGGGGUAGAAUUCCACGUGUAGCAGUGAAAUGCGUAGAGAUGUGGAGGAAUACCGAUGGCGAAGGCAGCCCCCUGGGCCAAUACUGACGCUCAUGCACGAAAGCGUGGGGAGCAAACAGGAUUAGAUACCCUGGUAGUCCACGCCCUAAACGAUGUCAACUAGUUGUUGGGGAUUCAUUUCCUUAGUAACGUAGCUAACGCGUGAAGUUGACCGCCUGGGGAGUACGGUCGCAAGAUUAAAACUCAAAGGAAUUGACGGGGACCCGCACAAGCGGUGGAUGAUGUGGAUUAAUUCGAUGCAACGCGAAAAACCUUACCUACCCUUGACAUGGUCGGAAUCCUGCUGAGAGGUGGGAGUGCUCGAAAGAGAACCGGCGCACAGGUGCUGCAUGGCUGUCGUCAGCUCGUGUCGUGAGAUGUUGGGUUAAGUCCCGCAACGAGCGCAACCCUUGUCCUUAGUUGCUACGCAAGAGCACUCUAAGGAGACUGCCGGUGACAAACCGGAGGAAGGUGGGGAUGACGUCAAGUCCUCAUGGCCCUUAUGGGUAGGGCUUCACACGUCAUACAAUGGUCGGAACAGAGGGUUGCCAACCCGCGAGGGGGAGCUAAUCCCAGAAAACCGAUCGUAGUCCGGAUUGCACUCUGCAACUCGAGUGCAUGAAGCUGGAAUCGCUAGUAAUCGCGGAUCAGCAUGCCGCGGUGAAUACGUUCCCGGGUCUUGUACACACCGCCCGUCACACCAUGGGAGUGGGUUUUACCAGAAGUGGCUAGUCUAACCGCAAGGAGGACGGUCACCACGGUAGGAUUCAUGACUGGGGUGAAGUCGUAACAAGGUAGCCGUAUCGGAAGGUGCGGCUGGAUCACCUCCUUUCCAGAGCUAUCUCGCAAAGUUGAGCGCUCACGCUUAUCGGCUGUUGAUAAAGACAGAAAGACUGUCUGUUAGCGGUUUAAUCGGUUAUAAUGCCGGCCGCUUUCGAUAAUCAUCAAUGACAAACAUUCGAAUGAAGUUUGGUUCGAGUUUUUCUCAUUGGCGAUUGAGCCAGUCAGAGCGGUACGUAGUACGUAUCGGCUGUCGUUCUUUAACAAUCUGGAAGAAGUAAGUAAUUUGGAUAGCGGAAGCGUCUUGAGAUGGACGUGAAAACUAUCCGGGUUGUGAUUGUAUCGAUGUAUCUCAAGAUGAUUCGAACUCUAUGUUCGACUUAAAUUGGAAUACGGCACAACGCGAGAACUCAACCUGUAGCGACUGUCGAUGAGACAGACUCGUUAUAGGGUCAAGCGAACAAGUGCAUGUGGUGGAUGCCUUGGCGAUCACAGGCGAUGAAGGACGCGGUAGCCUGCGAAAAGCUACGGGGAGCUGGCAAACAAGCUUUGAUCCGUAGAUGUCCGAAUGGGGAAACCCACUCCUUUUGGAGUAUCCAUGGCUGAAUACAUAGGCCAUGUGAAGCGAACGCGGUGAACUGAAACAUCUAAGUAACCGCAGGAAAAGAAAUCAACCGAGAUUCCCAAAGUAGUGGCGAGCGAAAUGGGAUGAGCCUUGCACUCUUUAUUUGUAUUGUUAGCCGAACGCUCUGGAAAGUGCGGCCAUAGCAGGUGAUAGCCCUGUAGGCGAAAACAGUAUGAAAGAACUAGGUGUGCGACAAGUAGGGCGGGACACGUGAAAUCCUGUCUGAAGAUGGGGGGACCAUCCUCCAAGGCUAAAUACUCGUGAUCGACCGAUAGUGAACC
rnacentral:rRNA from 1 species